GUCCACGCCGUAAACGAUGUCGACUAGCCGUUGGGAGCCUUGAGCUCUUAGUGGCGCAGCUAACGCAUUAAGUCGACCGCCUGGGGAGUACGGCUGCAAGGUUAAACUCAAAUGAAUUGACGGGGCCCGCACAAGCGGUGGAGCAUGUGGUUUAAUUCGAAGCAACGCGAAGAACCUUACCAGGCCUUGACAUCCUAUGAACUUUCCAGAGAUGGAUUGGUGCCUUCGGGAGCAUAGAGACAGGUGCUGCAUGGCUGUCGU
rnacentral:rRNA from 1 species